rnacentral:misc_RNA from 1 species
UGAUGAAGGUGGCAGAAA